rnacentral:lncRNA from 1 species
GUUUUUUAAGAUAUCCCAGACUCAAUGGAUAAGUUUGGAAACAAUUUAGUCUUUACCUUGCUUUCCUGAACCAAAAGCCUUUGCAGAACUGAUCUCUUUUUUUUUUUUUUCUUGUGACUGCAUGGCAAUCCUCUUGUUUACUUCUAGUCAGGGAUGGUUAUACACAGGAGUGGGCACAGGACCCAACAGAACACGCCAACGGCUUCAGUACAGCCCCCUUUGCCCUCUGUAGCCAUUAGGCCAGGGUUGGCAACUGAGGCUGAGUGAUAAGGUUUGGCUCUGUCCCCACCCAAAUUUCAUCUUGAAUUGUAGUUCCCGUAAUCCCCAUGUGUCAUGGAGGAGACCCAGUGGGAGGUAACUGAAUCAUGGGGGUGGUUUCCCCCGUGCUAUUCUCAUGAUAGUGAGUAAGUUCUCACAAGAUCUGAUAGUUUUGUAAGAGGCUUCCCCCUUCGCUCAGCUCUCAUUCUUCUCUCUCCUGCCACCAUGUGAAGGACAUGUUUGCUUCCCUUUCUGCCGUGAUGGCUCUGUGUGUCUAACAGGGUUUCGUCACCAAAGUCAUAUAGAUUGGUGCAAAUCACCGAUUUUUCAGUGGACUAGUGAACAAUGCAGAACACACGUAGAUUCCUGUCUCAUCAACCUGAAGGGAUAUCUUCUUCAACAACAUAUAUUUAUACACUGUGAGAGGAAUCCUCCUUGAAGUACCUAGGGCUCAUGAGAAUUUACUCGUGUGAGUUACUUGAACCAGAAGAGUAAACUGAAGCCAGAGAUGGUAAGUGGUUCAAUAACAUCAAGCAUCAAAGUGGCAAACCAUCAUCUCCUGACACCAUAGUCUAUGGUUUUAUUUUUUCCUGCCAAUCCUUUACAAAUAAAAUACAUCCAAAC